UACGUAGGGUGCGAGCGUUGUCCGGAAUUAUUGGGCGUAAAGGGCUCGUAGGCGGUUUGUCGCGUCGGGAGUGAAAACCCAGGGCUUAACCCUGGGCUGGCUUCCGAUACGGGCAGACUAGAGGUAUGCAGGGGAGAACGGAAUUCCUGGUGUAGCGGUGAAAUGCGCAGAUAUCAGGAGGAACACCGGUGGCGAAGGCGGGUCUCUGGGCCGUAACUGACGCUGAGGAGCGAAAGCAUGGGGAGCGAACAGG
rnacentral:rRNA from 1 species